UACGUAGGGUGCGAGCGUUAAUCGGAAUUACUGGGCGUAAAGCGUGCGCAGGCGGCUCGUUAAGUCAGAUGUGAAAGCCCCGAGCUCAACUUGGGAACUGCAUUUGAAACUGGCGGGCUGGAGUGUGGCAGAGGGGGGUGGAAUUCCACGUGUAGCAGUGAAAUGCGUAGAGAUGUGGAGGAACACCGAUGGCGAAGGCAGCCCCCUGGGCCAACACUGACGCUCAGGCACGAAAGCGUGGGGAGCAAACAGG
rnacentral:rRNA from 1 species